AAUACAGACUGUCUCCCAGGUAAAAAAAUGUAUGAUUCAUUCAUAUAAAUUGUUUUUGAUUUUUCAAUAAAAUAAUGACAUUUGUUAUAAGGGAGUUUAUAUAUUUUAUACUUAGGCAACCUAUCUGUUGGCCAGGAAUGUUUUCGCUCUUCGCAGUGUACUGAUGCAGAUCCUGCUGUACGAUGUGUUGACGGUCACUGUCUCUGUAUGGAGGGAUAUCAAAUGAGGGGACAGAAAUGUGUUGAAGACACUAAUGAAGAAAAUACCAAGACACAAACAGAUAUCUCAAUCAUCGCUGGAGUUAUUGGAUAUUUUCUUGGCUUAACCUCUACAGUGUGUGCUUCAUUAAUUUUCAAGAAAUGUUGGAAACGAUCGAUUAAAACGCA